GGCCAAGAAGAGCGGGUAUUGUGCCAAGGAUAUCGGAGUUGCGGAGCCAACAGGCCGAUUGGGCAAUAGGCUGCAGGAAAGGACGAUGCGCCGAAGAAUCGGACGAAGCGUCGAGGGACCAAUGACAUGCCGGACAACUUGGUUAAUUGCUUAGGAUUAAUUGUCUCGAUCGAAGUUUUUGUUUUUGUGUGUGCAGGAUUAACUACGAUGAAAGAAAGACAAGCAGCAGGAGUUGCGCCGGAGUCAAGUUCAUGAUCACAUUGGGAGUUCGAGAGUUCGACGGAAGUUCGGACGGUCGUCGGAGGUUCUGCGAGAACAGAUCCGAGA
rnacentral:lncRNA from 1 species